CCAUUUUCCCGCCCACCCCUUUAGGGCUCUGUGCCCCAACCUCGGAGCUCGGACUCGUAAUCACUCAUCUAUUUCUAGCAGCAGAGAAUUAGAAGGCAAUAAGCUCCCACCGAUCCCUCGGCUCUCAUCAAUGGCGAUGAAAUCUCGUUACAUCGCCGUAAUUUUUAAUGGUGAGGGUGAAGAUCCUUCCAUCAAGACGACGGUGAUGAAUCUUUCUCCGAUAGAUUUGGAUGCGAAAAGGCUCUCGGAAAUCUUAUCUCGGAGAAGGUUGGAGUCGUUGGAUCAAAGAAGGUUACAAGGCCGCGCGGCCAUGCUCGAUAUGGCAAGAGGACCUUGUGGAAGUACCAUGGAUUUAGCCAAUAUCGGAAUUGGGGAACUUAUUUGGAUGAUCGGAUGAGCUAUAGCAGAGUGGGGAAUGGUACUGGGGAAGAUGAAGCGCCUAAACAGAAGGUAAUAAACAUCUUCACAUUUGAUCAGAUUCAAUAUUAUUCCGUAUUUGCGUGCCAUUAAUUCCUUUCGUCGUCGUCGCAUCUUUCUAGCCAGACUGAAAUUGUUGUAGCUGUUAACAUACCCAAACUUCUUUAGGUGUAGGAAGACGUUUUCACUUCCAUUAAUUUCCUUAAAUGUUCAUUUAAUCAUAAAUUUACAUUAAUGAUAAAUAUUCUUAAUACAAAUUUCAGCGUAAGAACAUCAGGAAUAGAGAAUGAUUUAAGCGUCUCUAUAGCAAAUUGGGAAAUAAUAAAAUCGAUGAAAAAGUUUGAGCCUAAACUCGCGCAUACGAUUUGGCUCGCUGAAAUCGCGAGUGCCCCUUCCACUGAAAAUGAUCCCCGUCGAUCA